UGGAUUCCCUGGGACAAAUGUAUGGGAGGGAAUGAAGGAGAGUUCUACAAAACAAGCAGAGUUUUGCAGGCUUCUUCCCUCCCGAUCUGUCUGCCAUUUUUCUCUGAGGGCUGCUUUCAGAAGUCAGACUUCCCUGUAAAGGAGAGACUGGGCUGUUAUUGCUUCUUAAUCCUUCCCGGGAAAACUUAGAAGU
rnacentral:lncRNA from 1 species